GAUAGCUUGGCUAUAUACAUGAGGUACCAGUACCUAGUCAAUGAUAGCUUGGCUAUAUACAUGGGGUACCAGUACCUAGUCAAUGAUAGCUUGGCUAUAUACAUGUGGUACCAGUACCUAGUCAAUGAUAGCUUGGCUAUAUACAUGGGGUACCAGAACCAAGUCAAUGAUAGUUUGGCUAUAUACAUGGGGUCAGAACCAAGUCAAUGAUAGCUUGGCUAUAUACAUGGGGUACCAGAACCAAGUCAAUGAUAGCUUGGCUAUAUACAUGGGGUACCAGUACCAAGUCAAAAAUAGUUGCCAAAUGAUGACCGGGAAGUGGCCAGUCUUUAGAGCAGGGCUCUCCAACCCUGUUCCUGGAGAGCUACCGUCCUGUAGGUUUUAACUCCAACCCUGUUCUUGGAGAGCUACCGUCCUGUAGGUUUUAACUCCAACCCUGUUCCUGGAGAGCUACCAUCCUGUAGGUUUUAACUCCAACCCUGUUCCUGGAGAGCUACCNNNNNNNNNNNNNNNNNNNNNNNNNUCAAGUUUAUUAUAUCUCUCUCUCUUUGUCUGGUCCGUUUAUUAUAUCUCUCUCUCUUUGUCUGGUCAGUUAAUUAUAUCCUCUCUUCCUCUUUGUCUGGUCAGUUUAUUAAAUCUCUCUCUCUUUGUCUGGUCAGUUAUAUAUCUCUCUCUCUUUGUCUGGUCAGUUUAUAUAUCUCUGCUCUCUUGUCAUGGUCAGUUUAUCAAUCUACUCUCUCUUUGUCUGGUCAGUUUCAUUAUAUUCUCUCUCUUUGUCUGGUCAAAGUUUAUAUAUCUCUCUCUCUUUGUCUAGGUAGUUUUAUUAUAUCUCUCUCUCCUUGUCUGGUCAGUUUUAUAUUAUCUCUCUCUCUUUUGUCUGGUCAGUUUAUAUCUGCUCUCUCUUUGUCUGGGUCAGUUUUUAUUAUAUCUCUCUCUCUUUGUCUGGUCAGUUUAUGUAUAUCUCUCUCUCUUGUCUGGUCAGUUUAUUAUAUCUCUCUCUCUUGUCUGGUCAGUUUUUAUUAUAAUCUCUGCUCUCUUUGUCUGGUCAGUUUAUUAUAUCUCUCUCUCUGUCUGGUCAGUUUAUUAUAUCUCUCUCUCUCUUUGUCUGGUCAGUUUAUUAUAUCUUCUCUCAUCUUUGUCUGGUCAGUUAUUAUA
rnacentral:lncRNA from 1 species